UAGCAGGCUCAGAGAUCGAAUCCCUGAAGCCACAAUUUAUAUGCAUUAAAAAAUCCUCAGGGAGCUAAGGGAACCAGGUUUACUAAAGUAAUAGUGGUGAUCGAAUGUACUAGCCUCAGAAGCUCUUGAGGUGCCCUUUCUGUCCUCACACAGUG